rnacentral:rRNA from 1 species
UAAUACAUGCAAGUAGAACGCAGAAGAGAGGAGCUUGCUCUUCUUGGAUGAGUUGCGAACGGGUGAGUAACGCGUAGGUAACCUGCCUUGUAGCAGGGGAUAACUAUUGGAAACGAUAGCUAAUACCGCAUAACAAUGGAUGACUCAUGUCAUUUAUUUGAAAGGGGCAAAUGCUCCACUACAAGAUGGACCUGCGUUGUAUUAGCUAGUAGGUGAGGUAACAGCUCACCUAGGCGACGAUACAUAGCCGACCUGAGAGGGUGAUCGGCCACACUGGGACUGAGACACGGCCCAGACUCCUACAGGAGGCAGCAGUAGGGAAUCUUCGGCAAUGGGGGCAACCCUGACCGAGCAACGCCGCGUGAGUGAAGAAGGUUUUCGGAUCGUAAAGCUCUGUUGUAAGUCAAGAACGAGUGUGAGAGUGGAAAGUUCACACUGUGACGGUAGCUUACCAGAAAGGGACGGCUAACUACGUGACAGCAGCCGCGGUAAUACGUAGGUCCCGAGCGUUGUCCGGAUUUAUUGGGCGUAAAGCGAGCGCAGGCGGUUUGAUAAGUCUGAAGUUAAAGGCUGUGGCUCAACCAUAGUUCGCUUUGGAAACUGUCAAACUUGAGUGCAGAAGGGGAGAGUGGAAUUCCAUGUGUAGCGGUGAAAUGCGUAGAUAUAUGGAGGAACACCGGUGGCGAAAGCGGCUCUCUGGUCUGUAACUGACGCUGAGGCUCGAAAGCGUGGGGAGCGAACAGGAUUAGAUACCCUGGUAGUCCACGCCGUAAACGAUGAGUGCUAGGUGUUGGAUCCUUUCCGGGAUUCAGUGCCGCAGCUAACGCAUUAAGCACUCCGCCUGGGGAGUACGACCGCAAGGUUGCAACUCAAAGGAAUUGACGG